rnacentral:lncRNA from 1 species
ACUGGACGUUGCAUUAUUUCUAUGUAUUUCAUUCCACAGGGCUGUUGCUAACGAAAAAGUAAGAAUGUAAUGUUCAAUUUCUUCUUUACUUCCCUAGCAAAGAUGACGUUCAUUACUUCGAUUCUGAAGAAGUCCACUUGAUUCUAAAAACUAUUUGCAUGGUUGUCGGCCCCAGAUUACUUUCCACCAAUAUUGAAGCUUAACUCUUGGAGCUGCAUGUUGGCAGCGACCCGCACCGGAACCCACUCACACCGGUACAACCACCAACGUCGGACAAGCAAAGAGAGAAGCAAACGGAUAAGCACUCUCU